rnacentral:rRNA from 1 species
UCCAGACUCCUACGGGAGGCAGCAGUGGGGAAUAUUGCACAAUGGGGGAAACCCUGAUGCAGCGACGCCGCGUGAGUGAAGAAGUAUUUCGGUAUGUAAAGCUCUAUCAGCAGGGAAGAAAAUGACGGUACCUGACUAAGAAGCCCCGGCUAACUACGUGCCAGCAGCCGCGGUAAUACGUAGGGGGCAAGCGUUAUCCGGAUUUACUGGGUGUAAAGGGAGCGUAGGUGGCAUGGUAAGCCAGAAGUGAAAACCCGGGGCUCAACCCCGCGGAUUGCUUUUGGAACUAUCAGGCUGGAGUGCUGGAGGGGUAAGCGGAAUUCCUAGUGUAGCGGUGAAAUGCGUAGAUAUUAGGAGGAACACCGGUGGCGAAGGCGGCUUACUGGACAGAAACUGACACUGAGGCUCGAAAGCGUGGGGAGCAAACAGGAUUAGAUACCCGGGUAC